CCUAUUUCUAGAUUCAUAAAAGAAAAAAUAUGAAUAAAGUUUAUACGUUUGUUUAUGCUAUGAUUAUAUUCUUUUCCAAAUUUAUUUCCAUAACAAACGGAUCUGCGUUUCUCUGCUUACAAAAUGAACAUUGUCAAGAUCUCGACUUCGAGUGCAUCCCUCCUAAAGUGCCAAACUGCUUAUAUGGGGAAGUUUCAGAUGUCGAAUUUGGGUUUUGUGAAUGUUCCGAGAAGAUCACAGUGCACAAUAUUAGUGGUUUUUGAAUGUGUGAAGAAACCGUAAAAGAUUAUUAAAAAAAAAGGGUCGUAUUGUAUUAAUUUUUUAUAUUUUUUAUAAGCAAUAUUGGAUUCAAAUCAAAAAAUUAUAUGCUUUGUAAACAUACAAUAUAGGAUUAGUACUUCAAUUCGAGAAAGAAUAAAUGGACUUGCGCCAGACUCUACCACUAAACCAAAUCCAUGAGAUUGCCGUGAUAUUGUUAAUCGGCACAGAUA